UACGUAGGGGGCAAGCGUUGUCCGGAAUCAUUGGGCGUAAAGCGCGCGUAGGCGGCCCGGUCAGUCCGUUGUGAAAGUCAAAGGCUCAACCUUUGAACGCCGAUGGAUACUGCCGGGCUAGAGUCCGGAAGAGGCGAGUGGAAUUCCUGGUGUAGCGGUGGAGUGCGCAGAUAUCAGGAGGAACACCAAUAGCGAAGGCAGCUCGCUGGGACGGUACUGACGCUGAGGCGCGAAAGCGUGGGGAGCAAACAGG
rnacentral:rRNA from 1 species